UCAUGAUGAUGAUGAUGAUGAUGAUGGUGAUGAUGAUGGUGUUGAUAAGAAAAUAAAAAAUUGUCAUUCUUAUCAUUAUCCUCAUCUUCCUCA
rnacentral:miRNA from 1 species